UGGGGAAUAUUGCACAAUGGGCGCAAGCCUGAUGCAGCCAUGCCGCGUGUAUGAAGAAGGCCUUCGGGUUGUAAAGUACUUUCAGCGGGGAGGAAGGUGUUGUGGUUAAUAACCACAGCAAUUGACGUUACCCGCAGAAGAAGCACCGGCUAACUCAGUGCCAGCAGCCGCGGUAAUACGGAGGGUGCAAGCGUUAAUCGGAAUUACUGGGCGUAAAGCGCACGCAGGCGGUCUGUCAAGUCGGAUGUGAAAUCCCCGGGCUCAACCUGGGAACUGCAUCCGAAACUGGCAGGCUUGAGUCUUGUAGAGGGGGGUAGAAUUCCAGGUGUAGCGGUGAAAUGCGUAGAGAUCUGGAGGAAUACCGGUGGCGAAGGCGGCCCCCUGGACAAAGACUGACGCUCAGGUGCGAAAGCGUGGGGAGCAAACA
rnacentral:rRNA from 1 species